UACGUAGGGGGCAAGCGUUAUCCGGAUUUACUGGGUGUAAAGGGGGCGCAGACGGCGAUGCAAGCCAGGAGUGAAAGCCCGGGGCCCAACCCCGGGACUGCUCUUGGAACUGCGUGGCUGGAGUGCAGGAGGGGCAGGCGGAAUUCCUAGUGUAGCGGUGAAAUGCGUAGAUAUUAGGAGGAACACCGAUUGCGCAGGCAGCUUGCUAAUCCGCAUCUGACGCUGAUGCACGAAAGCGUGGGUAGCGAACAGG
rnacentral:rRNA from 1 species